AAAACAUGUCUUUUUGUUUAUAAUUUAAAGUCUAACCUGCCCGCUGAUAAUUAAUAUUGAAGGGCCGCAGUAUAUUGACUGUGCAAAGGUAGCAUAAUCAUUUGUCUUUUAAUUGAAGGCUGGAAUGAAUGGUUGAAUGAAGUAUUAACUGUCUCAUUUUAAUAAAUUAAUAAUUUAGCUUUUUAAUUAAAAGGUUAAAAUUUAAUUAAAAGACGAGAAGACCCUAUAGAUUUUUAUAUUUUGAAGGUGUAAUAAAUAUGAAGUGUAUUAAUAUAUUAUUAUUAAUUAAAAUAUUUGAUUGGGGUGAUUUAAAAAUUUAAUUAACUUUUUAUAAUUUAAAUCAUUGAUUUAUGAAUUUAUGAUCCAAUUUUAUUGAUUAUAAGAUUAAAUUACCUUAGGGAUAACAGCGUAAUUUUUUUGGAGAGUUCUUAUCGAUAAAAAAGAUUGCGACCUCGAUGUUGAAUUAAAGGUUAUAUUUAAAUGAAGUAGUUUAAAAUUUAGGUCUGUUCGACCUUUAAAUCUUUACAUGAUCUGAG
rnacentral:rRNA from 1 species